CAGGUAUUUGGUGAACAAAAUUAUUAAACUAAACCAAAAAGGCUUCCAAAUUUAUAACAAGGUAUAUUAUAAGAUACAUUAUAAGUUGUGGUUAGUGGUCUAAAAAACAUAUUUGAGUUUAAUGCAUUAGUUUUUAUUUCAACAGUGUUUUAAGAUCAGACUUUGAUAAAAAUCUUAAUAAUUACUACAUUUCAAAAUAUGUUACUGAACUUAGCUUCGAAUCGUUUUUUGUUAGUGAUGGUUAAUUGUUGUUUAUGGUAGGUAUACCUACGUAUACUUCUUUGGUAUAAAGACUGUGGCUAGUGACUAUCUAUAAAAUAUUAUAAAACAUUGGCAAACUGUUUCAUAAAUAAACAAAUUAUAUCAUUCUAUUAUUGCCUUAGAUAUUUUGUUUCAAAAUAUCUUACUUAGGUACUCAACUACUACUACAACUUAAAUACUCAGAAAAUAAAUAGGAACCUAUGAACCAUUAUUAUUAUUUUAAUCAUUUUCCUUUCAGUAUGACAAAUGUUGGGGAGCGCUAAUUUUUAAACUUAUAAAAGGGCGCUAAAAGCACACCCAACUACGCCUCCCCUAAUUACGCCUAUAGAAAAAUCAAAGACACUUUUACUCAUCAACUAGAUUAAAAAAAUGCUACAAAAAAGGUAUCUUGUUGUUUUUCUAUUGAAGAAAUAUUUUUUUUAUAGAAAACUUAAGCCAUACAAAUUUAAAAUAAGGAAUGCUAGUACCAUACAUUUAUCAGUUUUUAUUUUUUAUUAUUUUCC